CUCAAAUUUGAAAUCUGGCCCCUCGGGGUCCGAGUUGUAAUUUGUAGAGGAUGCUUUUGGUGAGGUGCCGCCCGAGUUCCCUGGAACGGGACGCCACAGAGGGUGAGAGCCCCGUCUGGCUGGCCACCGAGCCUCUGUAAAGCUCCUUCGACGAGUCGAGUAGUUUGGGAAUGCUGCUCAAAAUGGGAGGUAUAUGUCUUCUAAAGCUAAAUAUUGGCCAGAGACCGAUAGCGCACAAGUAGAGUGAUCGAAAGAUGAAAAGCACCUUGAAAAGAGGGUUAAAUAGUACGUGAAAUUGUUGAAAGGGAAGCGCUUGUGACCAGACUUGGGCGCGGCGGAUCAUCCGGGGUUCUCUCCGGUGCACUUCGCCGCGUCUAGGCCAGCAUCAGUUCGUCGCGGGGGAAAAAGGCUUCGGGAACGUGGCUCCUCCGGGAGUGUUAUAGCCCGUUGCAUAAUACCCUGCGGUGGACUGAGGACCGCGCAUCUGCAAGGAUGCUGGCGUAAUGGUCACCAGCGACCCGUCUUGAAACACGGACCAAGGAGUCGUCUUCGUAUGCGAGUGUUCGGGUGUCAAACCC
rnacentral:rRNA from 1 species